UACGGAGGGAGCUAGCGUUGUGCGGAAUUACUGGGCGUAAAGCGCGCGUAGGCGGCUUUGUAAGUUAGAGGUGAAAGCCCGGAGCUCAACUCCGGAACUGCCUUUAAGACUGCAUCGCUUGAAUCCAGGAGAGGUGAGUGGAAUUCCGAGUGUAGAGGUGAAAUUCGUAGAUAUUCGGAAGAACACCAGUGGCGAAGGCGGCUCACUGGACUGGUAUUGACGCUGAGGUGCGAAAGCGUGGGGAGCAAACAGG
rnacentral:rRNA from 1 species